rnacentral:rRNA from 1 species
UAGGGAAUCUUCGGCAAUGGGGGGAACCCUGACCGAGCAACGCCGCGUGAGUGAAGAAGGUUUUCGGAUCGUAAAGCUCUGUUGUUAAGGAAGAACGAGUGUGAGAAUGGAAAGUUCAUACUGUGACGGUACUUAACCAGAAAGGGACACUAACUACGUGCCAGCAGCCGCGGUAAUACGUAGGUCCCGAGCGUUGUCCGGAUUUAUUGGGCGUAAAGCGAGCGCAGGCGGUUAGAUAAGUCUGAAGUUAAAGGCAGUGGCUCAACCAUUGUAGGCUUUGGAAACUGUUUAACUUGAGUGCAGAAGGGGAGAGUGGAAUUCCAUGUGUAGCGGUGAAAUGCGUAGAUAUAUGGAGGAACACCGGUGGCGAAAGCGGCUCUCUGGUCUGUAACUGACGCUGAGGCUCGAAAGCGUGGGGAGCGAACAGG